CUACGGGGUGCUGCAGUGGGGAAUAUUGGACAAUGGACCAAAAGUCUGAUCCAGCAAUUCUGUGUGCACGAUGACGGUCUUCGGAUUGUAAAGUGCUUUCAGUUGGGAAGAAAAAAAUGACGAUACCAACAGAAGAAGCGACGGCUAAAUACGUGCCAGCAGCCGCGGUAAUACGUAUGUCGCAAGCGUUAUCCGGAUUUAUUGGGCGUAAAGCGCGUCUAGGUGGUUUGAUAAGUCUGAUGUGAAAAUGCGGGGCUCAACUCCGUAUUGCGUUGGAAACUGUCAAACUAGAGUAUCGGAGAGGUGGGCGGAACUACAAGUGUAGAGGUGAAAUGCGUAGAUAUUUGUAGGAAUGCCGAUAGAGAAGUCAGCUCACUGGACGAAUACUGACACUGAAGCGCGAAAGCAUGGGGAGCAAACAGGAUUAGAUACCCCAGUAGUC
rnacentral:rRNA from 1 species